rnacentral:rRNA from 1 species
AUUGAACGCUGGCGGCAUGCUUUACACAUGCAAGUCGAACGGUAACAGGCCUUCGGGCGCUGACGAGUGGCGAACGGGUGAGUAAUGCAUCGGAACGUGCCCAGUCGUGGGGGAUAACUAUCCGAAAGGAUAGCUAAUACCGCAUACGAUCUGCGGAUGAAAGCGGGGGACCUUCGGGCCUCGCGCGAUUGGAGCGGCCGAUGUCGGAUUAGGGAGUUGGUGGGGUAAAGGCUCACCAAGCCAACGAUCUGUAGCUGGUCUGAGAGGACGACCAGUCACCCUGGGACUGAGACACGGCCCAGACUCCUACGGGAGGCAGCAGUGGGGAAUUUUGGACAAUGGGCGCAAGCCUGAUCCAGCAAUGCCGCGUGCAGGAAGAAGGCCUUCGGGUUGUAAACUGCUUUUGUACGGAACGAAACGGCUCUGGUUAAUACCCGGGGCUAAUGACGGUACCGUAAGAAUAAGCACCGGCUAACUACGUGCCAGCCGCCGCCGUAACAC